CCUCUAACCGUUAUCCUCAAUUCCCCAUCCUGGGACUUGUCUUAGGUUGUGCAGGCACUAAAUCCCUAUCCUGCAAACUCUACUCAUGUAAGUAAAGACUGUUCAGCAAAGAAAUUAGGAAAAAAAUACCUUCGAAUAAGGAACCAACAUUUGUCUCGUGUCAAAUGAGCCUCUGCCAGAGUCUGGCCACCUUUUUCCCAUACAGCUACUUGCUCCACAUCUAUCUCUAGUUACUAGGUAUGGUUAUAGGUGUGGCUGCAGAGACCAAAGGUCAUUCUCCAUUUUGGAAGACAGAGAAUCCUUGACUGCAGGGGGCAGAACAGAUUGUGGCUGGCUAAAGCUUGCAGAAGACUCACAUUGCUGUUUUAUGUAACGUUUAAAUAAAAAUAAUUUAGUUGAUAAAUACCAGCUGAACAGCAUGUACACAACCAGCAAGGAUGGACAGCCUGAAACCAUCACCUGAAUUGAGGUUUGGGGACAAUGUGGAAAAAUCAUGGAAACAUUUCAAACAAAAGUUCCUGUGGUAUAUGCCAACAGUGAAUGCACAUACAGUGAGCAGUGCAGGAAAGUGCCCUUAUUGUUAAGUGUAACUGGUGCAGUGUUCCUAGAUUAGUUUUCAGCUCACACUCACAGAAAAAAAAAUGAUUCUGUUAGAUUACUAGCAUAGCUGGAAGCUUAUUGUGUAUGUAGAAAGAAUGAAAGCUAUGAAAGAUUCCGUUUCCAUCGGAGUAUAAAUGCCACAAGAAAAUAUUUUAGGAACUUUCCAGAUUAGAAAUUCAAAAGCCAGUCUUGCAAUUUUGGUUACUUAGAGAUUGCCUGAUAGACACAGGCUAAUGGUGGGCUGUAGACCAUAGAUUUGUAAACUUGUGUGCUUAAGUCAUUGAGGUUUGGUUUUUUGUUUUUGUGCCCUAAGUUGUACAUGCAAACCUGGCAAUUGCAUACGUACUUGUGAAUGAACCACUAAGAAACUGCAAAAUACAUGUUUUGUGCAUACAACUUGGUGACCAGUUCUGAAAAUUUGGUCUUAAAUGUUUGCACUGCUUUUCAACAACCAGAUCUUUUCUUCUAAACACUGUUUUCCACAGGCUUUGGCUGGGAUUGUCUCCACAUUACAACUUUAAAAAAAAAAAAAAAAGUUUGUUUGUUUGUAAAUGUGGACUGAAAGGUUAAGGCCCUUGGCAGAGUGAUUUGGGAACAAACUAUGAUGUGUCCCAUCUUGAAUGUUAGCUCCACUGUAUGUUAUAUACAUUCAUGCAAUGCAAUAUAACCAGAUGGGAUGCAUCACUGCAAUGACAAAGCAGAAACUUAAACAAGGGCCUUAAAAAGGGGGUUGAAGUUUUUAUCUUUGAAAAUGACGUAAAGUUGAAAGUCUUAUUGCGGCUGGUUUAUUGCAAAUCAUCAGAAGCUGAAAUGGGGGAAAAAAAAAGUAGAGCUAUUACUUCCCUAUAUAGAGAGUUUGAGGUCAUCUAUCCCCUUGCAGAAUCCAGGGCCUUAGGUAGUGCCGACUCCUUGAAGUUUUAGACACUCACUUAAAAGGACACAGUCAAAUUAUUUGGGCUUCAGUGAUUGUCCAUGGACUGGUAGUAGAAAAUAUGCCUAAAGUGCCAACUCCAAGAUCUGUUUUGUUUUGUUGUUAUCUCUAUUUAUUACCUAUAUAUUGGUGUGAGAAUGCUAAACUUUUUGCUCCUUUUAAAAAUUUUUAUGGCUGAGACUUUGUGAUAGCUAUUGCAGCCAGGUGAAGUUUCUUUGGGGACAAUAUUAUAUUAAGUUUAUGAAUGUUUUAUAUAUCAUUGUGGGCCAGGGAUUGGGUUACCACAGCUCCUUCAGGAACUAAAAACAGCAAGGGGGAUUAUUCCAGUCCCUGAAAUUGUAAACUGCUCCAGAGACACACCAUCCACUGGGUUGGUUUGCAUAUACUGGUUUAGGGCAAUCCCCCAGGAGAGGCAAGAGACACAGAAAAAAAUUGGAAUAGAAAGGCUGAGUUUAAACAGACUCAGUGUUUUCCUUUUGAUUCAGCAAAUGGACAGGACCUUUGGACCUAAGAGGGCCCCAAAUUUGCUGAAGCAUUGGAAGGACUUUGGCCUACCACAGCCCCAUAGGACUGACAGAUGAUUUCUGGUACACUUAGUAUGGGUGUGGAACCUUUGAUUGUUUUAUUGUGUUUUCUCUGUGAUGCUUUUCCCCAAGAAAAAACAUACUUUGCUUUGUGAAGUUGGUAACCGAGAUACACUGUUGUAGGUCUCCCUGCCCUUGAGAAAGAGAAAACUACAGAUGCUGGACCCUGGUCAGAUAUGCUGGGGAAAUCACAAUGAGGUGCAGAGGGACUGCAAGAUUAACCCCUGGUGUGGAAGGAGAGACAUGGGUCUCUGCCAAAGGAAGUGACAGCUAAGAAGCUUGAGACUUUAAGUGGAUGUUUAAGUGGUCAAAGGUGAAGUUAACUCUGAAACUCUGACAGACUUCUCUGUGCGUAAAUCAUUGCAGCCCCAUUGCACCAAUAGAUUAUUCAGACCUGUUUCAGAGGGUCCCUAAUCAAACUCCUAUCUCCUGUUCAGCAAUACAUUGCCUACUCAUUGCAUCUUCACUUCUCCUCUGUCCUUUGCUAUUGUUGUGCCACUUCUUAUUUCAAAUGCCAAGCACAAUCAGUUGUACGGAGCUUGGUACCACUCACUGAUACUGUGACCAGGCCCCCUGUAACACAUCCUCAUUAUAAUCAGGCCUUUUGUGAGAAGGAACAUCUUUAGCAGGAGAGACUGAAGGAGAUCUGCAUCAGACUAUCCCAGGGUCCAGUGGAGCACUCUCCUCCGAGAUGGGACACAUCUGUUCAAAUCCUUUCCCCCCAUCAGGCAGAGGGGGGAAUUGAACUUGGGGCUCCCACUUUUUGGGUGAGUGUCUAACUACUGUGCUAAAAGUCACAGCCUAGGUAACAUCAGUACCUCCUCCUUGUUUUGUGUGGACCCAAGGCCAACACCUAAUUCAGUCUCACAAGAAACAGCUUUGGCACCUAAACUGCCUGACUCCAGGAGAGGGACUUCCAGCUGUGGAUUGCAAGCACAGAUUGGAACCUCCCUACAGCCUAGACUUGGGCACUGAACUGCAUGAGAGAAGUGGUGUUUAUCAUACACCCCUCUCUUUGGCAUCUCCCUUUGGCGUAGGCAGCUCCCCAUCGAGCAUGCUGGCUUCCAUGGAUCCCAUUCUUAGGUGCUUAUCUCUCCUCAUUCAUUGUAUAGGGAGCCUAGGCAUCUA